rnacentral:rRNA from 1 species
AUUGAACGCUGGCGGCAGGCCUAACACAUGCAAGUCGAGCGGAUGAAGGGAGCUUGCUCCUGGAUUCAGCGGCGGACGGGUGAGUAAUGCCUAGGAAUCUGCCUGGUAGUGGGGGAUAACGUCCGGAAACGGGCGCUAAUACCGCAUACGUCCUGAGGGAGAAAGUGGGGGAUCUUCGGACCUCACGCUAUCAGAUGAGCCUAGGUCGGAUUAGCUAGAUGGUGGGGUAAAGGCCUACCAAGGCGACGAUCCGUAACUGGUCUGAGAGGAUGAUCAGUCACACUGGAACUGAGACACGGUCCAGACUCCUACGGGAGGCAGCAGUGGGGAAUAUUGGACAAUGGGCGAAAGCCUGAUCCAGCCAUGCCGCGUGUGUGAAGAAGGUCUUCGGAUUGUAAAGCACUUUAAGUUGGGAGGAAGGGCAGUAAGUUAAUACCUUGCUGUUUUGACGUUACCAACAGAAUAAGCACCGGCUAACUUCGUG